UACGUAGGUGGCAAGCGUUGUCCGGAAUUAUUGGGCGUAAAGCGCGCGCAGGCGGUCCUUUAAGUCUGAUGUGAAAGCCCACGGCUCAACCGUGGAGGGUCAUUGGAAACUGGGGGACUUGAGUGCAGGAGAGAAGAGUGGAAUUCCACGUGUAGCGGUGAAAUGCGUAGAGAUGUGGAGGAACACCAGUGGCGAAGGCGACUCUCUGGUCUGUAACUGACGCUGAGGAGCGAAAGCGUGGGUAGCGAACAGG
rnacentral:rRNA from 1 species